rnacentral:rRNA from 1 species
UACGACUACAUAUCAGGCAUAUCAAUAAGCGGAGGAAAAGAAACUAACAAGGAUUCCCUUAGUAACGGCGAGUGAAGCGGGAAGAGCUCAAAUUUGAAAUCUUCAAGGUUCUACCUUGACGAAUUGUAGUUUAAAGAAGUGUUUUCUGUUAGAGGAGUAGCAAAAGUUCCUUGGAAUGGGACAUCAUAGAGGGUGAGAAUCCCGUAUUUGGUUAUUCUUUCUAGCUUUGUGAUACACUUUCAAAGAGUCGGAUUGUUUGGGAAUGCAGUCCAAAAUGGGUGGUAAAUUUCAUCUAAAGCUAAAUAUUGGCGAGAGACCGAUAGCGAACAAGUACCGUGAGGGAAAGAUGAAAAGAACUUUGAAAAGAGAGUUAAACAGUACGUGAAAUUGUCAAAAGGGAAGCGUUUGGACACCAGUGUUGUUUUUCCGAAAAUCAAUUAAGAAGGGCUUGAUUUUGUGUUGUAUUGACCUUAUCAGCUUUCUUCACUCUUUUUCGAGUCUUUCUUAAUGCACUUUUCGGUUAACAAGUCAACAUCAAUUUCUUUUGUUGUAAAAGGGUAUUUGGAAGGUGGCUUUCUUUUCGGAGAAAGUGUUUAUAGCCUUAUACCUCUACAAUCGGAGAGAUUGAGGUCUGCAGCGUAGAUCCUUCGGGGCUAGAUACACUUGUGCUAAGUUAUAGCUUUUCAUAGACAACUUGUUGACUAUGUUUAGUCAUGUAGCUUACCCGCUUGUGCUAUUUAACCUACGCUUAGGAUGUUGAUCUACAGAGCGAAGU